UGAUGACAUUCUCCGGAAUCGCUGUACGGCCUUGAUGAAAGCACAUUUGAACCCUUUUCCAUCUGAUUCCUGAGGCUUUUCAUC
ensembl:snoRNA SNORD68 small nucleolar RNA, C/D box 68